GCAUGCAGUCGANGAGANCCUCCUUCUGGGUAACCAAAAGGGGACGUCUAGUGNNGAACGGGUGAGUAACACGUGAGGAACCUGCCCCGAAGACCGGGAUAGCCCAGGGAAACUUGGAUUAAUACCGGAUGCCCUCGCCGGAUCGCAUGGUCUGGUGAGGAAAUGGAUUCUGCUUCGGGAUGGCCUCGCGCCCUAUCAGCUAGUUGGUGAGGUAACGGCUCACCAAGGCGCAGACGGGUAGCUGGUCUGAGAGGACGAUCAGCCACACUGGGACUGAGACACGGCCCAGACUCCUACGGGAGGCAGCAGCAGGGAAUAUUGCACAAUGGGCGAAAGCCUGAUGCAGCGACGCCGCGUGAGGGAUGAAGGCCUUCGGGUUGUAAACCUCUUUCAGUAGGGAAGAAGCGAAAGUGACGGUACCUACACAAGAAGCCCCGGCCAACUACGUGCCAGCAGCCGCGGUAAUACGUAUGGGGCAAGCGUUGUCCGGAUUUAUUGGGCGUAAAGAGCUCGUAGGCGGCUUAGCAAGUCGGUCGUGAAAUACCGAGGCUCAACCUCGGAACGCCGGUCGAAACUGCUAUGGCUAGGGUCCGGUAGAGGAGAGUGGAAUUCCCGGUGUAGCGGUGAAAUGNNCAGAUAUCGGGAGGAACACCAGUAGCGAAGNNGGCUCUCUGGGCCGGUACCGACGCUGA
rnacentral:rRNA from 1 species